UCCGGUUUGACACCGGCAGUCCCCUUAGAGUCCCCGGCAUAACCCGCUGGUAACUAAGGGCAAAGGUUUCGCUCGUUAAGGGACUUAACCCGACAUCUCACGACACGAGCUGACGACAGCCAUGCAGCACCUGUGCCUGUUGUACCCCGAAGGGCCUACCCUGCUUUCACAGGGAUAAUCCAGGCAUGUCAAGCCCAGGUAAGGUUCUGCGCGUUGCUUCGAAUUGAACCACAUGCUCCACCGCUUGUGUGAGCCCCCGUCAAUUCCUUUGAGUUUUAGCCUUGCGACCGUACUUCCCAGGCGGUCCACUUAGCACUUUUGCUUCGACCGUGACACCGUCAGAGGCGCCACGAUCUAGUGGACAUCGUUUAGGGCCAGGACUAC
rnacentral:misc_RNA from 1 species